AUUUGCAUGACUACAGAGGUGACAAUCGUCUGUUUGGAGCAUAUAAAUCCCUUCCUAGUGAGUUCAUAACUCCAAUGAGAGUAUGGACCCACUAUUGUGGAACAUGGAGUGUUGCUUCAAGGACGUACCGAGCCUACAUCAACGGUAAACUAGCUUACUAGCUGGUUUCCAGAUCACAGCCUCUGGAAGAACAUUGAAAACAGGUGGAACUCUGGUGUUGGGAGAUUAUAGAGAUACUGCAGUUUCCGGUCACCACUUUGGUGGUGAUAUGUUUAGGUUCAACUUCUUCUCCAAAGAGUUAACUGGGACUGAAGUUGCAGCAAUGUCAACAGAUGGGCUCUGUACAAAGAUCCCUGAGGAGCUGGAACAAUACAGGACAAUCAGAUGGGAGGGUAUUGUGAAACUUCCCAGACGUGGAAACGUUCAAGAUAUCGACAGUGGAUGUUCUUUUUAAUUGUACUAAACCCAAAGAAGAUUCAAGAAAGAUAUUGUAAUUUGAUAGAAUGUUCUACAGUCACAUUGGUAUCUGUUACACCAACUUUGAAUUCGUGAUUGUGGUGUUUGAAGUUUUAUUUUAUAUAUUCACUACUUCAGGAGUUUAUCAGUGAAAAAGACACUCUUAGGCUCAGUCUGAACAACACACAAGCAGAACUGCUCAAGUUACAGAAACUGUUUAAUUCUAGCCAGGAGGAGUUACGGACGGUGAAGAGAAAUCUCUUAUCUACGACAGAGGAACUCAAUGGCACUAAGAUUAGUCUCGAAGAAACAGCACUCAAAUGGAAUGAAACAAGAAUGAGGCUAGAGAAUACAACCGUAGAAUUGAAUGAAACUAGGACCAAACUAGAUGACGCAACUCUAAAACAUUCAGGGUGUACUGAGAGGCUGAAUGAGGCGCAGAGAAAUUUUCGCUCAAAAGAAGAGGAACUCAAUGAAACAAAAGUUGAACUAAAAAGCACUCGAACUAUUUGAAAUUAAAGCUGAGCUCGGGGACACAGAGUUGGAACUGGUUGGAACAAAACUAGAAGUGAAGAAUGUCAGUGAGACUAAAUGUGCGCUGCAAAAAGGAUUCCUGACGAAAUGGGACGUCCUGUACUCUUGUGAUUACUACAACAAGACUUUUACCCUCCGGCUAUAUAGACAGCUACAGACAACGUGGGCCUCCCUUACUCGCAGAAUAUUGGGUAUGACUAUCACUGACAAUCUCAUUGAAUUCAUCAAAGAUAUAGAUGAAGAAAACAGCUGUGAUGAUUACUCCUAAAAUAAAUUGCGAUACGUCGCACUUUGUUCAGUAUUAAAUCUAAAGUAAGCGUGAUUUAACGUUACCGAAACUCUUUAUAAUUUUAAUUGAGACACCGUAAUUACCAAACAUUUUUGUGUCAAACUUUGGGAUCAAUAAAUUUGAGUACCAAAAAUGUUUGCAUGAAAUUUGGACUUGUUUAGAUAUGAAGUAAUUUUGCUCUUAUAUUAUAAUAUUAAUGAUAUUUUAUCAGUCUUGGAUUAUCAAAAUCAUAAAAGUAUCUAAAGAUAAAGAAAAAGACAAUAGUAUCUUAUCUCAUUUAGAUAUAGUGUCGAAGGCAGUCAAGGAACUAAUACAUCGAAGGCAGUGGAUGACAAACUGAUUAAUUUUAGGCAUAUUGUGGACAAAUAAUUUUUCUAGGCAGGACUACUCGUUAAUUCCCUACAGUAUACACAUCAAACCACAACCAUUGGUCCAAUACGCUGAC